rnacentral:tRNA from 1 species
UCCUUAAUAGUUCAAAGAAUACUGGUUUUGUAAACCUGAGGAUGUAAAGGAA